AAGUCGUAACAAGGUUUCCGUAGGUGAACCUGCGGAAGGAUCAUUGUCAACGUUAUCCAACGUUUCAACCCUUCGUGAACUCGGUUCUAUCAUCCGGUAGUGUUUGGUGGAUAAGGACUCGGGAGAUGUGGCGACUGAAGGGUACUUCGGUGCUCCUUCAGGUCCCUUGGUGGUCCCUGUCUGACCCUCGUGGUUGGACGCACCUUACAUUGCCGCUGCCAUCAUUUUUUUACCCCAUCUACAAUCUUUUGUAUCAUUCAAUUGUACUAAUCACAUUGUCUCUUAACCGAGCGAUGCCUUUUAAACAAAAUGCGAACAACUCUUAGCAACGGAUAUCUAGGCUCUC
rnacentral:misc_RNA from 1 species